rnacentral:rRNA from 1 species
ACGUACGCUGGCGGCACGCCUAACACAUGCAAGUCGAACGAAGUAGUAAUACUUAGUGGCAGACGGGUGAGUAACAUGUAGGUAUCUGCCCUUUGGCCUGGAAUAACACGAGGAAACUUGUGCUAAUACCGGAUAAGUCUUUACGGAGAAAGCUUUAUGCACCAUUGGAUGAGCCUGCACUUGAUUAGUUUGUUGGUGGGGUAAUGGCCUACCAAGACUGUGAUCAAUAGCUGAUUUGAGAGGAUGAUCAGCCACAUUGGGACUGAGACACGGCCCAAACUCCUACGGGAGGCAGCAGUGGGGAAUCUUGCACAAUGGAGGAAACUCUGAUGCAGCGAUGCCGCGUGAGUGAAGAAGGCCUUUGGGUUGUAAAGCUCUUUCGUCGGGGAAGAAAAUGACUGUACCCGAAUAAGAAGGUCCGGCUAACUUCGUGCCAGCAGCCGCGGUAAUACGAAGGGACCUAGCGUAGUUCGGAAUUACUGGGCUUAAAGAGUUCGUAGGUGGUUGAAAAAGUUGGUGGUGAAAUCCCAGAGCUUAACUCUGGAACUGCCAUCAAAACUUUUCAGCUAGAGUAUGAUAGAGGAAAGCAGAAUUUCUAGUGUAGAGGUGAAAUUCGUAGAUAUUAGAAAGAAUACCAAUUGCGAAGGCAGCUUUCUGGAUCAUUACUGACACUGAGGAACGAAAGCAUGGGUAGCGAAGAGGAUUAGAUACCCUCGUAGUCCAUGCCGUAAACGAUGUGUGUUAGACGUUGGAAAUUUAUUUUCAGUGUCGCAGGGAAACCGAUAAACACACCGCCUGGGGAGUACGACCGCAAGGUUAAAACUCAAAUGAAUUGACGGGGACCCGCACAAGUAGUGGAGCAUGUGGUUUAAUUCGAAGAUACGCGCAGAACCUUACCAACACUUGACAUGUUCGUCGCGACUCUAAGAGAUUAGAGUUUUCGGUUCGGCCGGACGAAACACAGGUGCUGCAUGGCUGUCGUCAGCUCGUGUCGUGAGAUGUUGGGUUAAGUCCCGCAACGAGCGCAACCCUCACUUUUAGUUGCCAUCAUUAAGUUGGGCACUCUAAAAGAACUGCCAGUGAUAAGCUGGAGGAAGGUGGGGAUGACGUCAAGUCCUCAUGGCCCUUACGUGUUGGGCUACACACGUGCUACAAUGGCAUCUACAACAGGAAGCAAAACGGCAACGUUAAGCAAAUCCCGAAAAGAUGCCUCAGUUCGGAUUGCACUCUGCAACUCGAGUGCAUGAAGCUGGAAUUACUAGUAAUCGUGGAUCAGCGUGCCACGGUGAAUGCGUUCCCGGGUCUUGUACUCACCGCC